GUUUGGCGGGUGCUACCAUGCAAGUCGGAUGUGCCGCAAGGUGCAUGGCAGACGGGUGAGUAACGCGUAGGGAAUCUACCUCUUUGUGGGGAAUAACGCUCCGAAAGGAGUGGUAAUACCGCAUGAGACCGUGGACUGGGAUGUUUACGGUGAAACCUGGGGACCGCAAGGCCUGGGGCAAGGAGAGGAUCCUGCGUCUGAUUAGCUAGUUGGCGGGGUAAUGGCCCACCAAGGCGACGAUCAGUAGCCGGCCUGAGAGGGUGAUCGGCCACACUGGAACUGAGACACGGUCCAGACUCCUACGGGAGGCAGCAGUGGGGAAUUUUGCGCAAUGGACGAAAGUCUGACGCAGCAACGCCGCGUGGGUGAUGAAGGUCUUCGGACUGUAAAACCCUGUCGUCAGGGACGAAGGUUGGGGGGUUAAUAACCCUUCAGCUUGACGGUACCUGGAGAGGAAGCCCCGGCUAACUCUGUGCCAGCAGCCGCGGUAAUACAGAGGGGGCAAGCGUUAUUCGGAAUUAUUGGGCGUAAAGGGCGCGUAGGCGGUUUUUUAAGUCAGAUGUGUAAUCCCCGAGCUCAACUUGGGAACUGCAUCUGAGACUGGAAGGCUAGAGUACUGGAGAGGGUGGUGGAAUUCCUCGUGUAGCGGUGAAAUGCGUAGAGAUGAGGAGGAACACCAGUGGCGAAGGCGGCCACCUGGACAGUAACUGACGCUGAGGCGCGAAAGUGUGGGUAGCAAACAGGAUUAGAUACCCUGGUAGUCCACGCUGUAAACGAUGAACACUUGGUGUGGAGGGAGUUGACCCCUUCCGUGCCGGAG
rnacentral:rRNA from 1 species